GCUGAAGACUGAGCCCUUGAAAGCAAUGCAAAUGCAAGGGCACUGUUUGUCUCAGGCUCUGGCUUCAUCAAAGUGAAGGUCCCUACUGUGCUUGGACUCCCCACAUCAGUCUAGUUUCUUUACCACUUCAGGUGAAAUCUGGGGAAACAAAGGAAAACAAUAGGGAACAUUUCCAAAAUGCAACUCUUGGUGCCAUGGGUGUAGCUCAGUGGUAGGGUGUGGCCUGGCAUGCACAAGGCAAGUUCAAUCCCUGCACCACAUGCACACAUGCACGAAAAAGAGGAAAGCAAAAUGCACAUCUUACUGACCUGCUGCAAAUUGCCCCGACUCUGAGGCGUGCAGAGGGAAGUAGGUAGGCACAGGGAAGGGCCAAGCCAGCUCUUCCCUUUCUUCUCAGAUGUGUAUGACCUGCAAGCCAGCCACCACCCCUCACAUGUAAGUGACUCACAGCCUUUUUGCCCACAUGGCUGCUGCUUGUUUGUCCCAUUGUGCCCAUCUUGAUAACUUUCUGCUAAACAAGCACUGAGGACACGGAUCUCAUUGUCACUUAAUAACACCUCCUGUGUACCGUAUCUCAAUUUUUCUCCCUCAAGGUGAGAGGCAAGAAGAAGGAUAUGGAGGAAGACCCAGCUUCUGCUCUGAAAUGCCAGCAAUCAGGCAGGCUCCCCACAGGGUUUCCCAGAUUCCCAUUCCUGGUACCCUCAGGAAAUAAUGAAUGGGCGACUGGUACAACGGAUGAGGCUGCUCCUAGCUAGGGCCGAUAGUCAGGGGUCACAGCUGAGUGGACAAUCUUGGUUGCAUUCCCUGCAUACUGGGGGUAAGGAGGGAGCCAAGCAGAACUCUGCUGCUUUGGAGAAAGGUAGAAUUCAAUGUGGCAACCCUGGCAAAAUGGAAGGUUCAGAGCUGAGGAUAACUCAAAGGGUAAUAGUGUAGGGAAACUCAGCAUUAUAUUAUAACAUGUCCAAUGUCGUGUUUCACGAUUCAAAAUUCAUAACAGUUAUUGCUAAUAAAGUCAUACUCAUCUAUUUUUCCUAUCUAAAUUGCUAUCUGUAAGACUUGAUUAUUUGUCUUCCUGGUGUCCUGUGUGUAAGUUGUAUGAACAAUCACUGCUUGCCAUCUCAUAACACACAGCAGUAGAGCAUAGACUGGGGCUCUAGGAGAUUAUCCUACACCUCUGUACCUGUUGAUGAGAAGGUUGGAGUACCGAAGACUUAGAAAAUUCCGACUAUAAUGAAACUGCUUUUCUAGGAAUUUGAAGGGCUAUUUAGACCAGCUAACUACCUGAUUCCUAGCUAUACAUAUCUCCUUUAGGAGUCACCAUCUGUUAGUUGAAGAUCUCUGCUUCAUCUCUCAAUGAUGGUGAAAAUAAU
rnacentral:lncRNA from 1 species